UUCAGAAGCUCCAAGGAUGUCAUCGGGACCCAUGCUUUUGAUCUCAGAGCUCUGUUUUCAUGUGUGGUGCCUCAUUUCUUAGACAGUGACGCCGCACCUGCCAGAAAAUUCAGUUUUACAUGUUUUCUCCCAGCCACUGUAAAAGAAAGAAACUGUCCCUUUCUUGCAAGAUCGUGCAAAUGUAUGUCCUAUAAUUGGAACUCAUUGACCAGAAAUGGUUUGGCAUGGGUCUCAUGGCGUCCCUGAAUUUGCAGUGGGUUGGCCAAAUCUGCUUUACCUGAGGAGCUGAUGCUACUGUGACCUACAGCAAAAGAAGUGGGAACAUGUGAAGGAGAGGUAUUUUCCAAGAGAAAGCCUAUGCAAUGUGAAGACGAUGAGGAUAAACAGAACAGAGCCCUCAGAAAUAAUGCUGCAUAUCUACAACUAUCUGAUCUUUGACAAAUCUGAGAAAAACAAGAAAUGGGGGAAGGAUUCCCUAUUUAAUAAAUGGUGCUGGGAAAACUGGCUAGCCACAUGUAGAAAGCUGAAACUGGAUCCCUUCCUUACACCUUAUACAAAAGUUAAUUAAAGAUGGAUUAAAGACUUAAAUGUUAGACCUAAAACCAUAAAAACCCUAGAAGAAAACCUAGGUAAUACAAUUCAGGACAUAGGCAUGGGCAAGGACUUCAUGACUAAAACACCAAAAGCAAUGGCAACAAAAGACAAAAUUGACAAAAGGGAUCUAGUUAAACUAAAGAGCUUCCGCACAGCAAAAGAAAUUACCAUCAGAGUGAACAGACAACCUACAGAAUGGGAGAAAAUUUUUGCCAUCUACUCAUCUGACAAAGGGCUAAUAUCCAGAAUCUACAAUGAACUCAAACAAACUUACAAGAAAACAACAACCCCAUCAAAAAGUGGGCGAAGGAUAUGAACAGACACUUCUCAAAAGAAGACAUUUAUGCAGCCAAAAGACACAUGAAAAAAUGCUCAUCAUCACUGGCCAUCAGAGAAAUGCAAAUCAAAACCACAAUGAGAUACCAUCUCACACCAGUUAGAAUGGCAAUCAUUAAAAAGUCAGGAAACAACAGGUGCUAGAGAUGAUGUGGAGAAAUAGGAAC
rnacentral:lncRNA from 1 species